rnacentral:rRNA from 1 species
GACGAACGCUGGCGGCGCGCCUAACACAUGCAAGUCGAACGAGCGAGAGGGAGCUUGCUUUCUCGAGCGAGUGGCGAACGGGUGAGUAACGCGUGAGGAACCUGCCUCAAAGAGGGGGACAACAGUUGGAAACGACUGCUAAUACCGCAUAAGCCCACGACCCGGCAUCGGGUUGAGGGAAAAGGAGCAAUCCGCUUUGAGAUGGCCUCGCGUCCGAUUAGCUAGUUGGUGAGGUAACGGCCCACCAAGGCAACGAUCGGUAGCCGGACUGAGAGGUUGAACGGCCACAUUGGGACUGAGACACGGCCCAGACUCCUACGGGAGGCAGCAGUGGGGAAUAUUGCACAAUGGGGGAAACCCUGAUGCAGCGACGCCGCGUGGAGGAAGAAGGUCUUCGGAUUGUAAACUCCUGUUGUUGGGGAAGAUAAUGACGGUACCCAACAAGGAAGUGACGGCUAACUACGUG